UCCACCGAGGCUCCGCCCCACAGGCCACAGGCCCCGCCUUCCUAGCACGCGCCGGCCUGACGAGCUGUUUGGGGGAGGUGAGCAGUAAACUGAUCGGCAGGGCUGAAGACCAGUGGAAACGUGCAGCGGCGCCCGAGGUGGCAGGGGAGGCGGGGCGGGAGGCGGCGGUGCCCAAUCAGCAGCCGAGCCGUUGGGCCAGGCUGGGAAGCAGUGCUGUCUUUUGGCACCGUCUGAUCCGGGCUGAGGGAUUGAAGGCGGUGGUCGCUAAGCUAGGUCUAAGACGGACAGCCAGGGCGACAACCAGUCUCUCGCUACGUGUCCCCAGCUUCCCUGUUUCCGAGCGCCUCUCAAGGCGCACGCUCUGGACUUGUUCAGAUGGGGGAAGGGAACUGGUCUGGAACUCCCCACUAUUCCCGAGGUUCCCACGCCUCCAGAUCCGGAGAGGCCGUUUCGCUCCAGUGGCCUGGCCCCCCUGCCCCCUCAGCCUAGCCGUUCUUGAUCGUAAGUGCUAAAAGGAACAAAGAAGGAGAAUUCAAGAAUCCACACAUAAGCCCAAACCCUGACAGGAGCCUUUUCCUCUCCCAUCUCCUGCCUACGCUUCCUCCUAGUAGCUUUUUAACUGCUGGCGGUUAAGUUACUUUGACUGGUUUGAAUUAAACGCAAAAUAGGUUUAGGCUGAGAAAUGGGCCAGACCCUUGGCGAUCUGAGAAAGAAAGACUGAGUCCGGAUGUCAAGAGGCCUGGGCCUCACGAGGGAGUUUGUCUGCUUAUUUGAACACCUCAGAGUUGAAGAUCUUGUUACUGCUAUUUCUGUGCUGGUGAAUCAGUACAGACCUUGAUGCCAAGAGAAAGCAGGAGUUUUCUUAUCAGUGAAAUAAGUACAAUAUUGCUCAUGUGAGUGGAAUAGUCCCACUGUUGGAAACAUCUCUUGCAAAGGCUCAGCCUAGAAAAUAUUCAGGCCGGUCAGACACAGUGGCUCAUGCCUGUAAUCGCAGCACU
rnacentral:lncRNA from 1 species